UUCACUUCUUAGCCUUUUGGCUAAGAUCAAGUGUAUUAUCAGUUAUUAUCAGUAAAAGAUUUUAUCACAAGAAAAUUGGCAACUAUGUGAGGUGAUGGAUAUUAACUAAACUGUAGUAAUUGUUUUGCAAUAUACACAUA
rnacentral:snRNA from 1 species